rnacentral:rRNA from 1 species
AGAGUUUGAUCAUGGCUCAGGAUGGACGCUAGCGGCAGGCCUAAUACAUGCAAGACGAACGGUAAGUUGAGUAGCAAUACUUAGCCAAGAGUGUCGUACGGGUGCGUAACACGUAUGCAACCUACCCUAUACAGGAGGAUAGCCUAGGGAAACCUGGAUUAACCCUUCAUAGUAUUAUUGGAUGGCAUCAUUUGAUAAUUAAAACUGAGGUGGUAUAGGAUGGGCAUGCGUCUGAUUAGUUAGUUGGCGGGGUAAUGGCCCACCAAGACGAUGAUCAGUAGGGGGUUCUGAGAGGAAGAUCCCCCACACUGGCACUGAGAUACGGGCCAGACUCCUACGGGAGGCAGCAGUAGGGAAUAUUGGUCAAUGGAUGCAAGUCUGAACCAGCCAUGCCGCGUGCAGGAAGAAGGCCUUCUGGGUUGUAAACUGCUUUUGCCAGGGGAUAAAAUUUCCAUGCGUGGAAAACUGAAGGUACCUGGUGAAUAAGCCACGGCUAACUACGUG